CUACGUGCCAGCAGCCGCGGUAAUACGGAAGGUCCGGGCGUUAUCCGGAUUUAUUGGGUUUAAAGGGAGCGUAGGCCGGAGAUUAAGUGUGUUGUGAAAUGUAGACGCUCAACGUCUGACUUGCAGCGCAUACUGGUUUCCUUGAGUACGCACAACGUUGGCGGAAUUCGUCGUGUAGCGGUGAAAUGCUUAGAUAUGACGAAGAACUCCGAUUGCGAAGGCAGCUGACGGGAGCGCAACUGACGCUUAAGCUCGAAGGUGCGGGUAUCGAACAGGAUUAGAUACCCUGGUAGUCCACACAGUAAACGAUGUAUACUCGCGGUUUGCGAUAGAUUGUAAGCCGCCAAGCGAAAGCAUUAAGUAUACCACCUGGGGAGUACGCCGGCAACGGUGAAACUCAAAGGAAUUGACGGGGGCCCGCACAAGCGGAGGAACAUGUGGUUUAAUUCGAUGAUACGCGAGGAACCUUACCCGGGCUUGAACUAACGGUGACGAAUCUAGAGAUAG
rnacentral:rRNA from 1 species